rnacentral:rRNA from 1 species
CAAGUCGAGCGAGAAAGGGGAGCAAUCCCUGAGUACAGCGGCGUACGGGUGAGUAACACGUGGGUAAUCUGCCUUUUAGUGGGGAAUAACCCUGGGAAACCGGGGCUAAUACCGCAUAAUCCUGUGAAGGGAAAGCAGCAAUGCGCUGAAAGAGGAGCCCGCGGCCGAUUAGCUAGUUGGUGAGGUAACGGCUCACCAAGGCGGUGAUCGGUAGCCGGCCUGAGAGGGCACACGGCCACACUGGCACUGAAACACGGGCCAGACUCCUACGGGAGGCAGCAGUGGGGAAUCUUGCACAAUGGAGGCAACUCUGAUGCAGCGACGCCGCGUGAGCGAUGAAGCCCCUCGGGGUGUAAAGCUCUUUCGGCAGGGACGAUUAUGACGGUACCUGAAGAAGAAGCUGCGGCUAACUACGUGCCAGCAGCCGCGGUAAUACGUAGGCAGCGAGCGUUGUUCGGAAUUACUGGGCGUAAAGAGUGUGUAGGUGGUGCUCUAAGUUCGGUGUGAAAUCUCCCGGCUUAACUGGGAGGGUGCGCCGAAAACUGGAGUGCUCGAGCGUGGGAGAGGAAAGCGGAAUUCCUGGUGUAGCGGUGAAAUGCGUAGAUAUCAGGAGGAACACCAGCGGUGUAGACGGCUUUCUGGACCAUUGCUGACGCUGAGACACGAAAGCGUGGGUAGCAAACAGGAUUAGAUACCCUGGUAGUCCACGCCCUAAACGAUGCAUACUUGGUGUCGGCCAUUCAGUUGGUCGGUGCCGGAGCUAACGCGUUAAGUAUGCCGCCU